AAAGCAGAUCGCCUUAUCGCUGUUCGUUUUACGAAGAGAGGAAAGUCCGAACACCGCAGUGCAGCAUAGUGGUUAACGGCCACCAAUUGUGAAAUUAGGAAAAGUGCAACAGAAAGAAUGUACAGGUUAAGCUGUAGUGAAAUCAGGUAAACUCUAUGCGGUGCAAUGCCAUGUAAAUCAACGCUUGAGUGCGGCACGUACAAUGUUGAAGGGUAGGCAGCUAAAGUUUUCUGGUAACAGAAAACGUAGAUAAAUGAUAAGGGCCUUAAUGGGUACAGAAUUCGGCUUAUAGAUCUGCUUUUUUU
rnacentral:RNase_P_RNA from 1 species